rnacentral:rRNA from 1 species
CAAUAGCGUAUAUUUAAGUUGUUGCAGUUAAAAAGCUCGUAGUUGGAUUUCGGUUAAGAGCGACCGGUCCGCCGUUUGGUGUGCACUGGUUGGUUUUAACUUCCUGUAGAGGACGUGCUCUGGGUUUAACGACCUGGACUCGGAGUCUACGUGGUUACUUUGAAAAAAUUAGAGUGUUCAAAGCGGGCUUACGCUUGAAUAUUUCAGCAUGGAAUAACACUAUAGGACUCCUGUCCUAUUUCGUUGGUCUCGGGACGGGAGUAAUGAUUAAGAGGAACAGUUGGGGGCAUUCGUAUUUCAUUGUCAGAGGUGAAAUUCUUGGAUUUAUGAAGGACGAACUUCUGCGAAAGCAUUUGCCAAGGAUGUUUUCAUUAA